rnacentral:rRNA from 1 species
AGGUGAGGUUUGCUUGCCAAAACCCUUAGCCAGCGACUCUAAAGAAAUUAGCUAUAAGUCGCCCCUUCGGGGGCUGGCGACGCCAUCAAUCUGUAUCUGGAAGUGCCCCCUUACCAAGGGAGUACCACCAGCAGCUCGUUGCAUUCGAGUUCACAGGUCAAACGAUAGCGGCCACUUUGGUGGUUGAGAUAUGAUCGGCCUCCAGCGUCACCUAGCUGGGGAAAUUCGCGGAACCUGCGGAAGGAU